UCCCAAGCCUGAAAAAUAUUGUUAAUAA
rnacentral:sRNA from 1 species